rnacentral:rRNA from 1 species
AUGCUGCCGCAUCUGGCGGAGCUGCAGUCUGAGAAGGUCAAGGAUAAGAUCAUCCUCGAUGGGAACGACAUUGAGCUUGUCUCCCGCUCUACCGCCCUCAUCAACUAG